CCGGUUCCACCUCCGGUUCACCCUCAGAAAAGGGGAGAGAAAAGCUUCAGUAAAUUUCCUCUCCCUCUCUCUCUCUCUCUCUCUUCCCCCGAUGGCGUCCAAAGUCCUCAUGGUGGCGGAAAAACCUAGCAUCGCUCUCUCCAUUGCAUCUGCGCUCUCUCGAGGCCGGGUCGGUCUUAUUUUUUUUCUUAAUUUUUUCUUUACUAGGUUUUUUGAUGUAUAAUGAGCUAUUUUGUUGGUUAAUCUCACUAUUACAGGCGCCGACUUAAUAUUACAAAUUUACCCAAACGUGGUAACUUUUUUAGCAACUGAAAUUGUUUGUUCAUUUUGAGAUGGUUACUAUUACUAGGCAGAUCAUUUUUCUGUCUCUGUCUUUAUAGUCUUGCCAUCAAUUAAAACAGUGAAUAUUGAGAA